rnacentral:tRNA from 1 species
GGUCAGGUAGCUUAACGCAAAGCAUCCCAUUUGCAUAUGCAAAGGGAAGGAUCCGGGUUCGAGUCCCGGUCUGAACC